GUAAUACUUGCAGCACUAGAACAGUAAAAGCAAUGAAAAGAAGAUCAGCGCAGGGAGUGAUCGCAAAGAGGGAUAACAAUCAACUAAACCCCACUAAAUGAAGGGAGAUAGUUCUCUGAAAAAAGGAAAAGAAAACAAUAAAGGGUAAAAAUCAAAGCAGAAAGAAAGAGAAGAAUAUUUAGUCAAAGAAAAAAAGGAGUAGAGAAAAGGGAUUUGCCCAAGAGAGAGAUGGAAAGGGAAAGAAGAAAGGAGAAAGGAGGAUUCAGCAGCAAAAUGAGAGGAGAGAAGGGAGAAUAUUCGGCAAGCAGAGAGAAAAGGGAAAAAGAAAAAAAAUCAAAUGGUGAACAAACCCGAGAAGAAACUUCCAGAACUUGGCAAAAUUCGGCACCAAAACUAAAACGUGAAACCCAAAACUUAUUGGAAUAAAAGCAAACUGAGAGAGAAACUCCAAAAAAAAACCAAAACCGAAUACCUUUAGUGUUAAGUGACUAAAUAAGGCACAAAUACCCUCACCAGC
rnacentral:lncRNA from 1 species